GGGGUCGCGUCCUAUCAGCUUGUUGGUGGGGUGAUGGCCUACCAAGGCUUCGACGGGUAGCCGGCCUGAGAGGGCGACCGGCCACAUUGGGACUGAGAUACGGCCCAGACUCCUACGGGAGGCAGCAGUGGGGAAUAUUGCACAAUGGGCGAAAGCCUGAUGCAGCGACGCCGCGUGCGGGAUGACGGCCUUCGGGUUGUAAACCGCUUUUGAUUGGGAGCAAGCGAGAGUGAGUGUACCUUUCGAAUAAGCACCGGCUAACUACGUGCCAGCAGCCGCGGUAAUACGUAGGGUGCAAGCGUUAUCCGGAUUUAUUGGGCGUAAAGAGCUCGUAGGCGGUUCGUCGCGUCUGGUGUGAAAGUCCAUCGCUUAACGGUGGAUCGGCGCCGGGUACGGGCGGACUGGAGUGCGGUAGGGGAGACUGGAAUUCCC
rnacentral:rRNA from 1 species